UUACGCCUACGGGGGGCAGCAGUGGGGAAUAUUGGGCAAUGGGCGCAAGCCUGACCCAGCAACGCCGCGUGAAGGAAGAAGGCUUUCGGGUUGUAAACUUCUUUUCUCAGGGACGAAGAAAGUGACGGUACCUGAGGAAUAAGCCACGGCUAACUACGUGCCAGCAGCCGCGGUAAUACGUAGGUGGCAAGCGUUAUCCGGAUUUACUGGGUGUAAAGGGCGUGUAGGCGGGACUGCAAGUCAGAUGUGAAAACCACG
rnacentral:rRNA from 1 species